CCCUUAGAUGUUCUGGGCCGCACGCGCGCUACACUGAUGCAUUCAACGAGUUACCUUGGCCGAGAGGCCUGGGCAAUCUUUUGAACGUGCAUCGUGAUAGGGAUAGAUUAUUGCAAUUAUUAAUCUUGAACGAGGAAUUCCUAGUAAACGCAGUUCAUCAAACUGCAUUGAUUACGUCCCUGCCCUUUGUACACACCGCCCGUCGCUCCUACCGAUUGGAUGGUCCGGUGAAGCCUCGGGAUUGUGGCCAGUGCCUUUUUGGUUUUGGUUGCGAGAACUUGUCUAAACCUUAUCAUCUAGAGGAAGGUGAAGUCGUAACA
rnacentral:rRNA from 1 species